GAGAACUGAUAAUCUGACAGGUGGAAUGAUGAAGUAACGCUCUGAAACGCCUGCCCUGAGCCUCCGACAAGCAUUGUAUGAGGAAACUCAGAAUGUUUGAAGCUCGGUAAAGACGGCUGAAAGAUACCGUAAUAGUUGAUGAACAUAUAUCUUCUAUCGAAAACUAUCCAGAGGUGGGUAGCGUAUCCAACAGGUCGGGGGUCUAUAAA
rfam:Enterococcus faecium DO, complete genome.